rnacentral:rRNA from 1 species
UACAGAGGGGGCAAGCGUUGUUCGGAAUUACUGGGCGUAAAGGGCGCGUAGGCGGCCUUCUAAGUCGAACGUGAAAUCCCUGGGCUCAACCCAGGAACUGCGUCCGAUACUGGAAGGCUUGAAUCCGGGAGAGGGAUGCGGAAUCCAGGUGUAGCGGUGAAAUGCGUAGAUAUCAGGAGGAACACCGGUGGCGAAGGCGGCUCUCUGGACCACAACUGACGCUGAGGCGCGAAAGCUAGGGGAGCAAACAGG